CCUCAUUCUAACAGUAUCAUAAAUAGAUCAACUCUUGUUGUGCAAAACGAAUGUGUCCAAGCAGAACCCGCCACCCUGUGAGGUUUGCUCGGGCUACACACGUCAAAAUAAGCAGCACAAGAACUGAAAGCUCAACAUGUCCAGUGAACUCACCUGAGAACGACCACAAUGGGGCUCUCGCUGCCUGUGACCACCAUCAGUCCCUUCCAGAUCAUCAGCGCAGAGGAAACUAUCAUCCCAAAGUUCAGCACCUGGUAAUAGAGCUGCAAACACGAUGCAGAGAACAACACUUCCGUUAGCAGCAGCCCUGCAGAACAUACACCCGCCUAUAAAGCUAGAAUCAUGAGCAGUCAGGUAUAACGUGGCCCCAAUUUAAAAAACACAUGGGGUUUAUUUUGGAUAACACGAAUGCACAUAUGGCGUUAGACCUCAGCUCCCACUGCCAUGGCAGUAGUGUGCUGAGGAGAGGAAACUAGCUAGCUACCCUGAGGUUACUCAUAUAAAACCCUUUAUAUACAGUAUAUGUUUAAAACCGAGGUCUCCAUGCGCUUCAAAAGCUGAAGCGCGAUAUGUUAAACAGUGGGACAGAGCACUUGACUUGGAUAUGCGGCUAACACGAGUCCCGUUGAGGCUGCAGUGAUACAAAGCGCUCGGCGGCUAGUUCCCAUUAGCUCCGACAACACAACAUGGCUCUAGCAGAAUGAAGCGAGGCUGCUGGUCCUACCUGCCGCUUAUUCAUGCGACGAACAUCGUCCAGGAAGUCUAAAGACAUCAUGGCUACACGGGAGAGGCACAAGGCGUUUGAAUUACACGGAACCCGCCGAUCUAACGAGCAUAUGGAUGAUGCACGGUCACACACAGACCGCUAACG